GAUGAACGCUGGCGGCGUGCCUAAUACAUGCAAGUCGAGCGAACAGAUGAGAAGCUUGCUCCUCUGACGUUAGCGGCGGACGUGUGAGUAACACGUGGAUAACCUACCUAUAAGACUGGGAUAACUUCGGGAAACCGGCGCUAAUACCGUAUAAUAUAUUGAACCGCAUGGUUCAAUAGUGAAAGACGGUUUUGCUGUCACUUAUAGAUGCAUUCGCGCCGCUUUAGCUAGUUGGUAAGGUAACGGCUUACCAAGGCAACGAUGCGUAGCCGACCUGAGAGCGUGAUCGGCCACACUGGAACUGGGACACGGUCAAGAGUCCUACGGGAGGGAGCAGAAGGGAAUCUUACGCAAUGGGGGAAAGCCUGACGGAGCGACGCAGCGUGAGUGAUGAAGGUCUUCGGAUCGUAAAACUCUGUUAUUAGGGAAGAACAAAUGUGUAAGUAACUGUGCACGUCUUGACGGUACCUAAACAGAAAGCCACGGCUAACUACGUG
rnacentral:rRNA from 1 species